UGUGCCCACACCGUGCUGGGAUGGAAGGUCCCACGCUGCAUGGCUGGAGAAACCACUGCAGCCUCUGGGUUUCAGUGCGGGGCUCCUUCUGUUUCCUCAUGAGAUUUUGCUCUCAUCAACACAAGCUGGGAAAAGCCACCAGGCAUUCUUUGGCAUGGGAAUGCACCAGCACUCAAUUUGAAGACCUUUAUCAAACCACCCAGCGCAGCUCCAGCUUUGGUUCCAAUCACACACCCAGGGUGGGAGUGGCUGGGAUAGAUGUGCCGCAACCAGACCAAAGCGCUGAAUAACUCCCAGGGAGUGAUGACGAAUCUGAU
ensembl:lncRNA